CGAAGCAACGCGAAGAACCUACCAGGGCGUUGACAUCCCUUGAAGCAGCUAGAGAUAGCUGUGUCCUUCGGGACAAGGAGACAGGUGGUGCAUGGUUGUCGUCAGCUCGUGUCGUGAGAUGUUGGGUUAAGUCCCGCAACGAGCGCAACCCCUGUGGUUAGUUGCCAGCAAGUAGCGUUGGGCACUCUAGCCAGACUGCCGGUGAUAAAUCGGAGGAAGGUGGGGACGACGUCAAAUCAUCAUGCCCUUUAUGUCCAGGGCUACACACGUACUACAAUGGCCGUUACAACGGGAAGCGAAGGAGCAAUCCGGAGCAAAUCCCUUAAAGGCGGUCCCAGUUCAGAUUGUGGGCUGAAACUCGCCCACAUGAAGGCGGAAUCGCUAGUAAUCGUGGAUCAGCAUGCCACGGUGAAUACGUUCCCGGGCCUU
rnacentral:rRNA from 1 species